GGGGAUGUGGCUCAGUGGUAGAGCUCCUGCCUGCAUGCAGGAGGCCAUGGGUUCGAUCCCAAGCACCA
rnacentral:tRNA from 1 species